UGAACUCGCUGUGAAGAUGCAGUGUACCCGCGGCAAGACGGAAAGACCCCGUGAACCUUUACUAUAGCUUGACACUGAACAUUGAGCCUUGAUGUGUAGGAUAGGUGGGAGGCUUUGAAGUGUGGACGCCAGUCUGCAUGGAGCCGGCCUUGAAAUACCACCCUUUAAUGUUUGAUGUUCUAACGUGGACCCGUGAUCCGGGUUGCGGACAGUGUCUGGUGGGUAGUUUGACUGGGGCGGUCUCCUCCUAAAGAGUAACGGAGGAGCACGAAGGUUGGCUAAUCCUGGUCGGACAUCAGGAGGUUAGUGCAAUGGCAUAAGCCAGCUUGACUGCGAGCGUGACGGCGCGAGCAGGUGCGAAAGCAGGUCAUAGUGAUCCGGUGGUUCUGAAUGGAAGGGCCAUCGCUCAACGGAUAAAAGGUACUCCGGGGAUAACAGGCUGAUACCGCCCAAGAGUUCAUAUCGACGGCGGUGUUUGGCACCUCGAUGUCGGCUCAUCACAUCCUGGGGCUGAAGUAGGUCCCAAGGGUAUGGCUGUUCGCCAUUUAAAGUGGUACGCGAGCUGGGUUUAGAACGUCGUGAGACAGUUCGGUCCCUAUCUGCCGUGGGCGCUGGAGAACUGAGGGGGGCUGCUCCUAGUACGAGAGGACCGGAGUGGACGCAUCACUGGUGUUCGGGUUGUCAUGCCAAUGGCACUGCCCGGUAGCUAAAUGCGGAAGAGAUAAGUGCUGAAAGCAUCUAAGCACGAAACUUGCCCCGAGAUGAGUUCUCCCUGACCCUUUAAGGGUCCUGAAGGAACGUUGAAGACGACGACGUUGAUAGGCCGGGUGUGUAAGCGCAGCGAUGCGUUGAGCUAACCGGUACUAAUGAACCGUGAGGCUUAACCUUACAACGCCGAAG
rnacentral:rRNA from 1 species